rnacentral:rRNA from 1 species
UACGUAGGGGCCAAGCGUUGUCCGGAUUUAUUGGGCGUAAAGAGCUCGUAGGCGGUUCGGCAAGUCAGCUGUGAAAUCUCCACGCUCAACGUGGAGGGGUCAGCUGAUACUGCUGUGACUCGAGUCCGGUAGGGGAGUGUGGAAUUCCCGGUGUAGCGGUGAAAUGCGCAGAUAUCGGGAGGAACACCAGUAGCGAAGGCGGCACUCUGGGCCGGUACUGACGCUGAGGCGCGAAAGCCAGGGGAGCAAACGGG